UUCGGUUCCCGUUAAAAACCAAUAUUCUUUUAUUGGUUCGGUUUUUAUCGGUUAACCGAACCGAACCAUAAACCGAUAAAAUUCACAAACCGUUUUUAUCUCUCCCGACUCCCGUCUCCUUUGGCUCUGAGUCCUCCUCUGGCAGUAGGGGGCUCGGCGAGGAAGGCUGCAGAUCACUCAGGUGUGGCGGAGGGGAAGCUGAUGUGGUGCCAUCGCUCGGAGGGGGGAGCUGCAGGGGACGAGUGAGCGGUGGCGCGACUGCAGGCGUCGGGCUCGCGGGUCGCUGGCGGAGCGGCGGUGCGAGCUCGCAGGUGAGGGGUGACCGGCCCGGGAUCUGCUGGCGUCAGGUUGCAGGUGGAGACGCUCGGAGGCGGCGAGCGUUCCGGCACGGCUGAGCGGGCAGUGGCGGAGGCGAUCGGGCGACAGGGCUGCACGUCGCGGGCGAGACCGGCGGAGCGGCGGUGACCGGCCGCUAGGCCGCCUGUGCUGGGCUCGCGAACGGCGGACACGGGCAGCGAGUGCGGGGGGAAGAAGAUGAACAGUGCUCCACUUUUUCCUUCUGCUGGCCUGUCCUUCACGUUCACGUCUCUUCCCUCUCUGUCUCCUCUCUGCAGAGUGCAGUUGCUGCUGUACAGCUUUUUCUUUUAACUUUUCCCUAUAAAGCUUUCGUUUUUGUGUUUUUGUGUUUUUAGAAGAACGAAGAGAAGCCCCCC
rnacentral:lncRNA from 1 species